rnacentral:rRNA from 1 species
GAUGAACGCUGGCGGCGUGCUUAACACAUGCAAGUCGAACGGUGAAAGCGGAGCUUGCUCUGCUGGAUCAGUGGCGAACGGGUGAGUAACACGUGAGCAAUCUGCCCCUGACUCUGGGAUAAGCGCUGGAAACGGCGUCUAAUACCGGAUACGAGCUGCGAAGGCAUCUUCAGCAGCUGGAAAGAAUUUCGGUCAGGGAUGAGCUCGCGGCCUAUCAGCUAGUUGGUGAGGUAACGGCUCACCAAGGCGUCGACGGGUAGCCGGCCUGAGAGGGUGACCGGCCACACUGGGACUGAGACACGGCCCAGACUCCUACGGGAGGCAGCAGUGGGGAAUAUUGCACAAUGGGCGCAAGCCUGAUGCAGCAACGCCGCGUGAGGGACGACGGCCUUCGGGUUGUAAACCUCUUUUAGCAGGGAAGAAGCGAAAGUGACGGUACCUGCAGAAAAAGCACCGGCUAACUACGUGCCAGCAGCCGCGGUAAUACGUAGGGUGCAAGCGUUAUCCGGAAUUAUUGGGCGUAAAGAGCUCGUAGGCGGUCUGUCGCGUCUGCUGUGAAAACCCGAGGCUCAACCUCGGGGCCUGCAGUGGGUACGGGCAGACUAGAGUGCGGUAGGGGAGAUUGGAAUUCCUGGUGUAGCGGUGGAAUGCGCAGAUAUCAGGAGGAACACCGAUGGCGAAGGCAGAUCUCUGGGCCGUAACUGACGCUGAGGAGCGAAAGGGUGGGGAGCAAACAGGCUUAGAUACCCUGGUAGUCCACCCCGUAAACGUUGGGAACUAGUUGUGGGGACCAUUCCACGGUUUCCGUGACGCAGCUAACGCAUUAAGUUCCCCGCCUGGGGAGUACGGCCGCAAGGCUAAAACUCAAAGGAAUUGACGGGGACCCGCACAAGCGGCGGAGCAUGCGGAUUAAUUCGAUGCAACGCGAAGAACCUUACCAAGGCUUGACAUAUACGAGAACGGGCCAGAAAUGGUCAACUCUUUGGACACUCGUAAACAGGUGGUGCAUGGUUGUCGUCAGCUCGUGUCGUGAGAUGUUGGGUUAAGUCCCGCAACGAGCGCAACCCUCGUUCUAUGUUGCCAGCACGUCAUGGUGGGAACUCAUGGGAUACUGCCGGGGUCAACUCGGAGGAAGGUGGGGAUGACGUCAAAUCAUCAUGCCCCUUAUGUCUUGGGCUUCACGCAUGCUACAAUGGCCGGUACAAAGGGCUGCAAUACCGUAAGGUGGAGCGAAUCCCAAAAAGCCGGUCCCAGUUCGGAUUGAGGUCUGCAACUCGACCUCAUGAAGUCGGAGUCGCUAGUAAUCGCAGAUCAGCAACGCUGCGGUGAAUACGUUCCCGGGUCUUGUACACACC